rnacentral:rRNA from 1 species
AGAGUUUGAUCAUGGCUCAGGAACAACGCUGGCGGCGUGCCUAAUGCAUGCAAGUCGAACGGGAGCUUCUUCGGAAGUCGACCGUGGCGGACGGGUGAGGAGCACGUGGGGAACCCAUCCACGCGCGGGGGAUAACGGCGGGAAACCGCUGGUAAUACCGCAUACACUUCCAGCCUCGUAGGGGAUGGAAGCAAAGGUCGAGAGACUGUGCGUGGCGGGGCCUGCGGCCUAUCAGCUUGUUGGGGGGGGUAGUGGCCCACCAAGGCGAUGACGGGUAGCUGGUCUGAGAGGAUGAUCAGCCACACUGGAACUGAAACACGGUCCAGACUCCUACGGGAGGCAGCAGUGGGGAAUCUUGCGCAAUGGACGAAAGUCUGACGCAGCCACGCCGCGUGAGUGAAGAAGGCCUUCGGGUUGUAAAGCUCUGUCGGAGGGGACGAAAAGCAUCUGGGUUAACAGCCCAAGUGCCUGACGGUACCCUUAAAGGAAGCACCGGCUAACUCUGUGCCAGCCGCCGCGGUAAUAC